GACGAACGCUGGCGGCGCGCUUAACACAUGCAAGUCGAACGGAAAGGCCUGCUUUCCCUUGUGGAUUGCGGGUACUAGAGUGGGGAACGGGUGAGUAACACGUGCGUGAUCUGUUCCCAACUUGUCUAUAAGCCUGGGCAACUGGGUCUAAUUCCCGCCAGGACCGCAGGGGGGUGUCUGUGGUUGCAAACGAUUUUCUUGUGGUUGGGGAUGAGCUCGCGGGCUAUUAGGUUGUUGGUGGGGUAAUGUCCUACCAAUGCGGGGACGGGUAGCCGGCCAGGGGGGGCGGACGGCCACAGUGGAACUGAGAUACUGCCCAGGAUCCAACGGGAGGCAGCAGAGGGGAAGAAUGCACAAGGGGUGGAGGCCUGAGGCAGCGAGGCCGCGGGAGGAAUGACGGCCGUCGGAUGGUGAACUCCUGUCGACCGCGAGGAAGCCACCUUGUUGGAAGGGUGGUGACGGUAGUGGGAGAAGAAGCACCGGCUAACUACGUG
rnacentral:rRNA from 1 species